GAUCUUUAGAAAACGUAUCCUCUGUAGUUUCCUUUAGGCCUACACAUCACAUCUUCAUUAGUCUAAUAAACCUGGGACAAUAGAAACCUACCAACGGUCUCAAGCUUGUAGGAUCUGUUCUCUUAUUCUCAUGUGUGCAAGAGAUUUUCGACAGAAAAUCUAGCCUACCUGCAUCUGUUCGAUCCGACUCGAUACCGACAAGGGGCGUGGAGACACCAUCCGCUAUUUGACCUAUAAACAGCAAUACACCUGCAUAUGUGCUCUUGAACCCAAGCACGGAAUGGUAGUAGACCAAUAGUACCUGAGGCCAGUGACUGCUACAAAGAUUUCCAGAAACACUACAACAUAAAAGUAAAAGUUUGUUUUCAAUCCAGGAAGUCAACUUUGAAAACUACUGAGGAUUAAAUUACAAAAAAAAGGGAAAAAAUGCAUAAAGAUCCUCC